GAUGAACGCUGGCGGCGUGCCUCAAACAUGCAAGUCGAGCGGGGCUAUGUAAUAUCGCAAGGUAGAACAUAGCCUAGCGGCGAACGGGUGAGUAACACGUGGGUAACCUGCCUGGAAGACAGGGAUAACGAUUCGAAAGGGUCGCUAAUACCUGAUAAUAUCCUUUCAUCGCAUGGUGAUAGGAAGAAAGGGGAAACCCGCUUUCAGAUGGGCCCGCGUCCCAUCAGCUAGUUGGUAAGGUAAAGGCUUACCAAGGCGACGACGGGUAGCCGGUCUGAGAGGAUGUACGGCCACACUGGGACUGAGAUACGGCCCAGACUCCUACGGGAGGCAGCAGUUGGGAAUCUUAGGCAAUGGACGAAAGUCUGACCUAGCGACGCCGCGUGAGGGAAGAAGGCCUUCGGGUUGUAAACCUCUGUCAUGGGGAAGAAGUAAGUGACGGUACCCAAGAGGAAGCCCCUGCUAACUACGUGCCAACAGCCGCGGUAAAACCAGUAUAGUCU
rnacentral:rRNA from 1 species